GUGAAUCAUCAAAUUUUUGAACGCAAAUUGCACUCUCUUCGGAGAGUAUGCCUGUUUGAGGGUCAGCCUAAAAAAAAAAAAAUCGACAUAUUCUCUGUUUCCCGGUGACUUUCGUCGGAAAUUUGUUUAUCUUAAACCUUUGGGUUUUAUUUGGCUUAAAAUUUUUUUUUCGUUUCCCCGACCGUUUUUA
rnacentral:misc_RNA from 1 species